UACAGAGGGUGCGAGCGUUAAUCGGAAUUACUGGGCGUAAAGGGCGCGUAGGUGGAUUGAUAAGUCAGAUGUGAAAUCCCUGGGCUUAACCUAGGAAUUGCGUUUGAGACUGUUAGUCUAGAGUUUGGUAGAGGGAAGUGGAAUUUCCGGUGUAGCGGUGAAAUGCGUAGAUAUCGGAAGGAACACCAGUGGCGAAGGCGACUUCCUGGCCCAAUACUGACACUGAGGCGCGAAAGCGUGGGUAGCGAACAGG
rnacentral:rRNA from 1 species